rnacentral:rRNA from 1 species
GCACGCAAAGCUGAUGCCCCUUUCUUGAAUACCCCAAUUGAACACUAUCAUGCUAUGGCGACCAUCUUUGGGACAACCGCGGCUUCAGGGAUGAAUGCUAGGUCUGGGAAUGAUCUACUCUCUAUUGAUGUGGAAGAUGAGGAGAAUGGUGAGGUGAACACAUCACCAAAUGUUGCUGAAUCCUCUCACCCCAAAGGACCACCAAAAAAGAAGGCCAAGGUAGUGAAAGUUCUUCAAGAUCCACUAGUUACCACUCUCAAUUAUGGGUUCAAACUUGUGGCUGAUUCUCUUGUGAAGUAUGGGGAUGAUGAUGAUGAAGGAAAUAUGCCCUAG